GACGAACGCUGGCGGCGUGCCUAAUACAUGCAAGUAGGACGCUGAAGGAGGAGCUUGCUUCUCUGGAUGAGUUGCGAACGGGUGAGUAACGCGUAGGUAACCUGCCUGGUAGCGGGGGAUAACUAUUGGAAACAAUAGCUAAUACCGCAUAAUAGUAGAUGUUGCAUGACAUUUGCUUAAAAGGUGCAAUUGCAUCACUACCAGAUGGACCUGCGUUGUAUUAGCUAGUUGGUGGGGUAACGGCUCACCAAGGCGACGAUACAUAGCCGACCUGAGAGGGUGAUCGGCCACACUGGGACGGAGACACGGCCCAGACUCCUACGGGAGGCAGCAGUAGGGAAUCUUCGGCAAUGGACGGAAGUCUGACCGAGCAACGCCGCGUGAGUGAAGAAGGUUGUCGGAUCGUAAAGCUCUGUUGUAAGAGAAGAACGAGUGUGAGAGUGGAAAGUUCACACUGUGACGGUAUCUUACCAGAAAGGGACGGCUAACUACGUG
rnacentral:rRNA from 1 species